rnacentral:lncRNA from 1 species
AUUGGUUGAUAAAUAAAGCACUGUUGGCCAAUAGGGAAGCAAGAUAGGUGGGGCUAGGAGUUGAGGAGGAUUCUGGGAAAUGUAGUAAAGAGGUGAGUUGAGUCGCCAUAUGAUCCCAGGAAGAUAGGACGCUAAGGCCGGCAACCACGAUCAAGGAGCACUCCUUGGGAACUGAAGCUUUGGGUUCUUCCUGAGCUUAUGUCUGGAGUUGGAGUGUGUGGCAUGUCUGUCAUUGUCAUCCCACAGCAAGAAGGGCUGCACCUGCUGUCCACAUUCAAUCUGCCUUGUCCCUCAUUUGGGACAAGUGCUUCCUGCAGACCACACCUCUCCCCACCUCACAGCCCCAUAUCCCUUUGAGUUCAUAUCCAGAGGACAAGACAUCAAACAUCAAGAAAUGUAGAGCUGGAGUCAGAACUGUGCCUGGUACCCAUGUGGUGGAAACAGCAAACCCGAGGUGACCCAAUGCAAAUGCACAGGCCACAUCAGCCAAGGCUGCAGCUCCCCCUGUGAACUCCCUUCUACCACCUUUCCAAGAAUACUGCUGCUGCAUUCCUUCAAGGCACUUUGAGAAGCCAAGCCCUGUGGGAGGCUGUGUGUGAACACUGCUGCUUGUUGCUACUGUCCUGGCGACUGUGGCUGAGAAUGUAGCUUCUGAAUAAUUGAUGCUGCUGAGAAGCUGGGAAGCUUCAGACCUCAGAAGGUCUUAAGAAGUCUCAAGUCCCAGGUCACAGUCUCCUUUAAGGAGCACCAGGUGCACUGCAAGCUCCCACUCCCCGCUGGUGGUAUUAUCAGUCUCUUUCCAUCACACGAACAACUGCUGGUUGUUUUUCUGGAGAGCAGCUCUGUAUCCCCAAAUGAAUAUUAGUGGCACUCGGUUCUCAGGUUCACAGGGACCCAGCAGCACCUGCCGGUAGCCGGGCCCAUUUUCACAAUGCAACCUCCAUGACUGGCAUCCUCUCUGGUUCCCCAGUUUACCUGAAAGCUGGGGGCAUGGACAAACAAAUGUUUCUAAGUUGGUUUAGCAUGAAGUGGAAAUAAAGCAUUGGAAACCCUCUUUUCUUGAUUUCCACUGUAAUUUGUUUCUUCAAGAGCCCCUACCAUGAGCUACCC